AGAUGGAUGUGGAGAAGAGAGGGAGCGCUAAUGACCUACUACAGCACCAGUUCCUGAAGGUGGCCAAGCCUUUAUCCAGUCUGACUCCUCUCAUCCAGGCAGCCAAAGAAGCAGCUAAGGCUAACCGCUAACCUGCUAGCUGCUAGCUCCACAGAUCACCCCUUCAUUCUCUCUCUCUCUCUGUCGCUCUCCCCCACUGGGGCAAACAAGACCCAGACAGGGGGUGUUUCAGGGGGUCCCAUCCCCCUCAACCCCUUGACCUAUCACGGUGACUGUGGGAAGGACGCUCUUACUGAUGUCAUCGCUGGUACUAAUACUCUGAUCGGAUUGGAGGAGAGAUCCAGGCCCAAAGACUCAUGGGAGUUGUAGUUUCAGCAGGACAGUGGCUGUGGACUGGAUCAUAUCUGACCUUUGAACUGUUUGUUUGUUGAUGUCUGACUGUUAUUUUCAUGUGUUGAAAAAGUGCAUUUUAGUUUGAUCUUUUCUUAGGUGUUUUGUUUUGAGGAGAAGGGUUUGGUUGAAAGUGUAAUGAAGAGACACAAAGUGGUACUGUUGAUAUUAUCUCAGUCCCAAACGCCACCCUAUUCCCUACAUAGUGCACUACUUUGGUCACAAAUAGGGUGCCAUUUGGGACAGUCGUUUAGUCUGAUCAAAUGUUGGAAUUCUAUCUCCUUAUCUCUACUUCUCUUUCUCUCCCUCUCUUUCUCUGUCUGGCUGAGUGAGAUGACACGCAUGACAAACCUUUCUUAUGGAAUGUCUAAAAUCAUAAUACAGUAGUGAUGAUGAUUAUGAUGGUACAUGAAGGAUGCCUGUGUACGAUACAGUAUAGAAGAACAUAUCUAAAUCCUAUUUUUCAGUACAAUCGUUGCGGUACAAUGUUGGACGGAUCCUAGUCCCAACCCUCUGAAGAUAGAAUGUACAUUACAUGUGAAAGAACUGCUCUGAAAAACCCCAGCCUAAAACAACCAGAAGAAUAUUGUCUGCAUUCUUUGUUUAGCAACGUGUUUUCUUUAUGCAGAUGGCGCUGAAGAAUACCAAGGUACCAAUAAGAAGUAUACUUUUUACCAGGUUUGGCUUAGUUCUGUUUUUAAAAUGUAGUGUUGAAACUGCCUUUGGCCUUAAACUGUCUCACAGGUGGAAGAGUUCCAGCAGACAGUUGGACAGCCUCUAGUCCCUCUCACCAGACUGAGUGCUCUGCACGCUCCUGCGGCUGUGAGAAGAGACUACACAACCUUCAAAUCUUGUCAGUUCCCCAGACUACUGUAGCCCACCUGAGGUUAGACAGGUUUAGAACUGGGAUAGACUGGAUUGAACUUGCUCAAACUGGUUUAGACUGGUUCAGACCAGUUCAGAUAAGGGUGGUGAUAGUUAUUGAAGUCUUCUCUUCCUGUGUAUUGGAGCCAUAAUUAUGUUUAUCAAAUUAUUGGAUUAUUUUGAAUGAGACAAAUAAAGUGAAGAAAACGCUGUAUGGUGGAUAGAGUCUGGCUGUCUGUAAAUCUGUUUCGGGCUGUUGUGUGUACCCCUGGUUAGGUCUGUUUAUAUAAAGUGUUAUUGUAAUUUUAAGUGUGUCAGCUCCUCUGAGAGGGCUCUCAUCUGAAUGGGAAAUUAGACUCAUCACUGAUUAAACUGGUAAUUACU